ACUCCUUUCACAAAUGUUGUAAUAAGAAUGAAGUUUGUGUGUUAGUUUUUGUUUGACUAUUUCCAUUUCUGAAUUGCUCAGUGUAUUCCCGUACUAGUUGUAAUAUAAAGAUUUUCGUUUUAAUUAUGGCAUGUAUUAGUGACAUUUUAUCCUACAACUAUUAUACAUAUUUAACCGACUACAUUUUUUCAGAUGGUAGUACAGCAGAUCACUUGAUGCAUGCUGAGACGGAGAUUUACAUUCCUACAACUUGGGAAAGUAUCAACAUCCUACAUUAAACAAUGGACAAGAAGAUUCUGAUAAUAAUAAUGGUUUUAUGCAAUAAGGCAGUAUUAUAGUAGAUCACUCAAGGCAUGCUGAGACAUUUAUUAACAUUUUCGGAAUUUGGGAAAGUUUCAACAUCCCACAUUGAUCAUGGACUUGAAGAUUCUGAUAAUAAUAAUGAUUUUAUGCAAUGUACUUGUAAUGAAUAUAAAAUAUGGUAGUACAGCAGAUCACUUGAUGCAUGCUGAGACGGAGAUUCACAUUCCUACAACUUGGGAAAGUAUCAACAUCCUACAUUAAACAAUGGACAAGAAGAUUCUGAUAAUAAUAAUGGUUUUAUGCAAUAAGGCAGUAUUAUAGUAGAUCACUCAAGGCAUGCUGAGACAUUUAUUAACAUUUUCGGAAUUUGGGAAAGUUUCAACAUCCCACAUUGAUCAUGGACUUGAAGAUUCUGAUAAUAAUAAUGAUUUUAUGCAAUGUACUUGUAAUGAAUAUAAAAUAUGGUAGUACAGCAGAUCACUUGAUGCAUGCUGAGACGGAGAUUCACAUUCCUACAACUUGGGAAAGUAUCAACAUCCUACAUUAAACAAUGGACUAGAAGAUUCUGAUAAUAAUAAUGGUUUUAUGCAAUGUAUGUGAAAUGAAUAUAGAAUGUAAUCGAUAGUCAAUUAAUAGUAGUAUAACAUAAAAUUAGUUUCAAAAAACCCUGAUCAU